AACGAACGCUGGCGGCAUGCCUAACACAUGCAAGUCGAACGAGACCUUCGGGUCUAGUGGCGCACGGGUGCGUAACGCGUGGGAACCUGCCCUUAGGUUCGGAAUAACUCCCCGACAGGGGUGCUAAUACCGGAUAAUGUCUUCGGACCAAAGAUUUAUCGCCUUUGGAUGGGCCCGCGUUGGAUUAGCUCGUUGGUAGGGUAAAAGCCUACCAAGGCGACGAUCCCUAGCUGGUCUCAGAGGAUGAUCAGCCACACUGGGACUGAGACACGGCCCAGACUCCUACGCGAGGCAGCAGUGGGGAAUAGUGGACAAUGGGCGAAAGCCUGAUCCAGCAAUGCCGCGUGAGUGAUGAAGGCCUUAGGGUUGUAAAGCGCUUUUACCCGGGAUGAUAAUGACAGUACCGGGAGAAUAAGCCCCGGCUAACUCCGUG
rnacentral:rRNA from 1 species